rnacentral:rRNA from 1 species
CACGUAGGGUGCGAGCGUUGUCCGGAAUUAUUGGGCGUAAAGAGCUCGUAGGCGGUUUGUCGCGUCUGCCGUGAAAGUCCGGGGCUCAACUCCGGAUCUGCGGUGGGUACGGGCAGACUAGAGUGAUGUAGGGGAGACUGGAAUUCCUGGUGUAGCGGUGAAAUGCGCAGAUAUCAGGAGGAACACCGAUGGCGAAGGCAGGUCGUCUGGGCAUUAACUGACGCUGAGGAGCGAAAGCAUGGGGAGCGAACAGG